rnacentral:rRNA from 1 species
CCUACGGGUGGCAGCAGUGAGGAAUAUUGGUCAAUGGACGAGAGUCUGAACCAGCCAAGUAGCGUGAAGGAUGACUGCCCUAUGGGUUGUAAACUUCUUUUAUAUGGGGAUAAAAUGUUACACGUGUGGGCUUUUGUAUGUACCAUAUGAAUAAGGAUCGGCUAACUCCGUGCCAGCAGCCGCGGUAAUACGGAGGAUCCGAUCGUUAUCCGGAUUUAUUGGGUUUAAAGGGAGCGUAGGUGGAUUGUUAAGUCAGUUGUGAAAGUUUGCGGCUCAACCGUAAAAUUGCAGUUGAAACUGGCAGUCUUGAGUACAGUAGAGGUGGGCGGAAUUCGUGGUGUAGCGGUGAAAUGCUUAGAUAUCACGAAGAACUCCGAUUGCGAAGGCAGCUCACUGGACUGCAACUGACACUGAGGCUCGAAAGUGUGGGUAUCAAACAGGAUUAGAUACCCGUGUAGUC